CUCUCUCUUUUUCUCUUUGUCUUUUUUCUCUCUCAAAUUUUGCAAUGAUAAAAACAAAAGCUGGAGGCAAUGGAUCACAUGAAGAUGAACUCUCAUUUUUCUCUUCCAUAUUAU
rnacentral:ribozyme from 1 species